GCCUUGAUGGUGAAAUGGUAGACACGCGAGACUCAAAAUCUCGUGCUAAAGAGCGUGGAGGUUCGAGUCCUCUUCAAGGCAUAAUAUUAAGAAUGCUCAUUGAAUGGGCAA
rnacentral:tRNA from 1 species